CUCGUCUGAAUUUUGCCAAAGCACACCUUGAUCAUCUUCAAACCUUUGUGAGAAUGUUCUGUGGAUUGAUGAGUCAAAAGUGGAAUUUUGGAAGACAGGGGUUUGAUUACAUCUGGCAUAAACCAAACAAAGAAUUCCACAAAAAGAACAUCAAACCUACAAUUAAGCAUGGUGGUGGAAUGUUAUAUUGUGUGGAUGCUUUGCUGCUUCAGGGCCUAUGCAACAUGCAGUAAUCGAGGGACACAUGAAUUCUGCUCUCUACAAGAAAAUCCUAAAGGAGAAAGUCCGGUAGAGAGAGAUAGUUUGUAUAUAUUGUAACCGUAGUUUUGACAGGUAUAGGUCAAAGGUCAAAAAGAUACACAUUCUAACUCUCUAUAUCUAGAUCAAAGGUCAUGAUCAUAAAAAUAUGAAUAGUUAUGUUAAAUCUGGUUCACAUCCAAAUCGUGACCAUACAUGCUACGGCCAUAUGUUUUCCCACCCCACACAAGUUGCACACUCAUGUUUUUUCUUUUCACAUAGAAUAUGAAACUCUCUGUGAUAGGUCAUAAAAAUAUGUAUAGUCAUGUUAAAUCGGGUUCCCAUGCAUUCCAGACACAUAUGUUCUCAUAACUGGUAUGACCAUGUGUUUUUCCGCCCCCACACACGUUGCACACAUGGUCCUUCUUUUCACAUAGAAUAUGAAACUCUCUGUGGUAGGUCAUUAAAUAUAUAUAUAUAUGUAUAUGUUUAUGUAUAUAGUUAUGUAAAUAUAUAUAGUUAACCCUGAGCAGGGCGUCAACAGCUCCAAAGAUCGUGUCUUAAGUCCGAGGGUUUAGUUAGGAGGUAGAAAAACAUUUAAAGAUGAUGUUUUAAAAGAAACAAGUGUUUCAUCCUUAAUGGUAAAAAAGAAAAAUGGUUGUACUCCAAUAUGAAAUAAAACGGUGGAGACACACUGAGUACACUUCUGUUCCACAGUCUAUAAGGAUCCCCAAUCUUCAUGUAGUGUGGAAAAAUAUAUACACCCUCCGUGACUACGUUACUUAAGGUUUAAACAUUUUUAUUUUGUGAUGGCAGCAAGACAAAACGGUUGUGCAUUUGGUAUGUGGUGAUUUUAGAAUUAGGCCCCAAAUGUCAAAUAUGUUUUGUGUAUGGCUUCGUCAGGCAAAGAUCACGAUGGUAUGGAAAGAGUAUACAAGAGUAAUUGGGGUGAUCUAAUGCUUAGGACUUGUACAGUAUUUCAGCUCGGGAACGCCCCACCAUGGCGUUCAGAGAGGCAUUAUCUAAGGUACACGUAUAUAUAAUAUAGAUCAGAUCACCAGUCUGUCCUUACCCACUCCUGA
ensembl:lncRNA